GGACGUGUGGCUCAGUGGUAUAGAGCGUCCCCUCUCUCCAUGGGAAGAUCUCCGGUUCGAUUCCGGACACGUCCU